rnacentral:Y_RNA from 1 species
GGCUGGUCCCAGUGCAGUGGUGUUUACGACUAAUUGAUCAUGAUCGGUUACAGAUUCCUUUGUUCCUUCUCCACUCCCACUGCUUCACUUCACUAGCCAAAA